GUGUCAGCAGCCGCGGUAAUACGUAGGGUGCGAGCGUUGUCCGGAAUCAUUGGGCGUAAAGCGCGUGUAGGCGGCUUGUUAAGUCCGCUCUGAAAGCCCGGGGCUCAACCCCGGGAGGCGGGUGGAUACUGGCAAGCUCGAGUCCGGAAGAGGCGAGUGGAAUUCCUGGUGUAGCGGUGAAAUGCGCAGAUAUCAGGAGGAACACCAAUGGCGAAGGCAGCUCGCUGGGACGUGACUGACGCUGAGACGCGAAAGCGUGGGGAGCAAACAGGAUUAGAAACCCGAGUAGUCC
rnacentral:rRNA from 1 species